rnacentral:rRNA from 1 species
AUUGAACGCUGGCGGCAUGCUUUAUACAUGCAAGUCGUGCGGCAGCGCGGGGGGCAACUCUGGCGGCGAGCGGCGAACGGGUGAGUAAUACAUAGGAACGUAUCCUGAAAUGGGGGAUAGCUCGGCGAAAGCCGGAUUAAUACCGCAUACGCUCCACGGAGGAAAGCAGGGGAUCGCAAGACCUUGCGUUUCUGGAGCGGCCUAUGUCUGAUUAGCUAGUGGCGGGGUAAUAGCCCACCAAGGCGACGAUCAGUAGCUGGUCUGAGAGGAUGAUCAGCCACACUGGGACUGAGACACGGCCCAGACUCCUACGGGAGGCAGCAGUAGGGAAUUUUGGACAAUGGGGGCAACCCUGAUCCAGCCAUGCCGCGUGAGUGAAGAAGGCCU